rnacentral:tRNA from 1 species
GCGGGUGUGGCGGAAUUGGCAGACGCGCAUGGUUGAGGGCCAUGUAGGAGAAAUCCUGUGGAAGUUCGAGUCUUCUCACCCGCA